rnacentral:rRNA from 1 species
UACGGAGGAUCCGAGCGUUAUCCGGAAUUAUUGGGUUUAAAGGGUGCGUAGGCGGCCAUUUAAGUCAGCGGUGAAAUUUUGCAGCUUAACUGUAACAGUGCCGUUGAUACUGUUUGGCUAGGAUUUGGUUGUAGUGUGCGGAAUGUGUGGUGUAGCGAUGAAAUGCUUAGAGAUCACACAGAAUAUCGAUUGCGAAGGCAGCUCACAAAGCCAAGAUUGACGCUGAGGCACGAAAGUGUGGGGAUCAAACAGGA